GGAUGGGUGGCUGAGUGGUCUAAAGCAACAGUCUUGAAAACUGUCGCUCUCGAAAGGGGGCCGCGAGUUCGAAUCUCGCCCCAUCCG
rnacentral:tRNA from 1 species